rnacentral:rRNA from 1 species
GGGUGCGAUCAUACCAGUGUUAAUGCACCGGAUCCCAUCGAAACUCCAUAGUUAAGCAGGAUUGGGUUAGAGUAGUACUGGGAUGGGUGACCUCUCGGGAAGUCCUAGUGUUGCACCCU